rnacentral:rRNA from 1 species
GACGAACGCUGGCGGCGUGCUUAACACAUGCAAGUCGAACGGAAAGGCCCUGCUUUUGUGGGGUUCUCGAUUGGCGAACGGGUGAGUAACACGUGAGUAACCUGCCCUUGACUUUGGGAUAACUUCUGGAAACUGGGGCUAAUACCGGGUAUGAGCUCCUGCUGCAUGGUGUGGGUUGGAAAGAUUCGGCGGUUGGGUCUGGACUCGCGGCUUAUCAGCUUGUUGGUGGGGUAGUGGCUUUCCAAGGCUUUGACGGGUAGCCGGCCUGAGAGGGUGACCGGCGACCAUGGGACUGCGAUACGGACCAGACUCCUACGGGAGGCAGCAGUGGGGAAUAUUGCACAAUGGGCGGAAGCCUGAUGCAGCAACGCCGCGUGCGGGAUGCCGGCCUUCGGGUUGUAAACAGCUUUGGCAUGUGACGAAGCGUGCGUGACGGUAAUGGGUAAAGAAGCACCGGCUAACUACGUG